AAAUUGAAGAGUUUGAUCAUGGCUCAGAUUGAACGCUGGCGGCAGGCCUAACACAUGCAAGUCGAACGGUAACAGGAAGCAGCUUGCUGCUUUGCUGACGAGUGGCGGACGGGUGAGUAAUGUCUGGGAAACUGCCUGAUGGAGGGGGAUAACUACUGGAAACGGUAGCUAAUACCGCAUAAUGUCGCAAGACCAAAGAGGGGGACCUUCGGGCCUCUUGCCAUCGGAUGUGCCCAGAUGGGAUUAGCUUGUAGGUGGGGUAACGGCUCACCUAGGCGACGAUCCCUAGCUGGUCUGAGAGGAUGACCAGCCACACUGGAACUGAGACACGGUCCAGACUCCUACGGGAGGCAGCAGUGGGGAAUAUUGCACAAUGGGCGCAAGCCUGAUGCAGCCAUGCCGCGUGUAUGAAGAAGGCCUUCGGGUUGUAAAGUACUUUCAGCGGGGAGGAAGGGAGUAAAGUUAAUACCUUUGCUCAUUGACGUUACCCGCAGAAGAAGCACCGGCUAACUCCGUGCCAGCAGCCGCGGUAAUACGGAGGGUGCAAGCGUUAAUCGGAAUUACUGGGCGUAAAGCGCACGCAGGCGGUUUGUUAAGUCAGAUGUGAAAUCCCCGGGCUCAACCUGGGAACUGCAUCUGAUACUGGCAAGCUUGAGUCUCGUAGAGGGGGGUAGAAUUCCAGGUGUAGCGGUGAAAUGCGUAGAGAUCUGGAGGAAUACCGGUGGCGAAGGCGGCCCCCUGGACGAAGACUGACGCUCAGGUGCGAAAGCGUGGGGAGCAAACAGGAUUAGAUACCCUGGUAGUCCACGCCGUAAACGAUGUCGACUUGGAGGUUGUGCCCUUGAGGCGUGGCUUCCGGAGCUAACGCGUUAAGUCGACCGCCUGGGGAGUACGGCCGCAAGGUUAAAACUCAAAUGAAUUGACGGGGGCCCGCACAAGCGGUGGAGCAUGUGGUUUAAUUCGAUGCAACGCGAAGAACCUUACCUGGUCUUGACAUCCACGGAAGUUUUCAGAGAUGAGAAUGUGCCUUCGGGAACCGUGAGACAGGUGCUGCAUGGCUGUCGUCAGCUCGUGUUGUGAAAUGUUGGGUUAAGUCCCGCAACGAGCGCAACCCUUAUCCUUUGUUGCCAGCGGUCCGGCCGGGAACUCAAAGGAGACUGCCAGUGAUAAACUGGAGGAAGGUGGGGAUGACGUCAAGUCAUCAUGGCCCUUACGACCAGGGCUACACACGUGCUACAAUGGCGCAUACAAAGAGAAGCGACCUCGCGAGAGCAAGCGGACCUCAUAAAGUGCGUCGUAGUCCGGAUUGGAGUCUGCAACUCGACUCCAUGAAGUCGGAAUCGCUAGUAAUCGUGGAUCAGAAUGCCACGGUGAAUACGUUCCCGGGCCUUGUACACACCGCCCGUCACACCAUGGGAGUGGGUUGCAAAAGAAGUAGGUAGCUUAACCUUCGGGAGGGCGCUUACCACUUUGUGAUUCAUGACUGGGGUGAAGUCGUAACAAGGUAACCGUAGGGGAACCUGCGGUUGGAUCACCUCCUUA
rnacentral:rRNA from 3 species